UUCAGCUCCUGGCACACUUUCUACUUCGGAAUUGUGGAAUCUGCAUUUAUCUGGUCAACAUUUACUGAAAAUCUAACUCUGUGCCCUAGAGAUUGGCCUCAAACAAAACAAACCCAGUCCUGGCCCUCCCAGAGCUUCAGGACCAGCAGGGAAGUCAGAUAUGCCACUAAAACAGAGACAUCACCCAGCGGGUUACCACGGUACUUAGUGGUAACACUCAAGAGGUGAAGCGCUGGGGUGCUCACAAGCUCAGGCUUGGCCUGGCCCAUGGUUCCAGGGGCAGCCUGAACAUGUGACAGAAACCCAUGGAGCUUUGGAGAGAGGAGCAGAAGGACGAGGAGGAAUCACUUCAGAGGCAGACAUCUUCCUCUUGCUGGCUGUGAAAGGUGGGCCCUGCUGGCUUGGUGACUUGGAAGACAGGGCUGUGGCUCCAUAGAGCACUGGAUUGGGAUCCUUGUGUCUUCGGGCCUGUUCUCACCCCUCUCCACUGAUAGAACUAGGUGGAGGUGAAUUCCCACCCCUGAGAACAUGGCUUGAAGGCCUUAGAUCUUCACUUCUUAGGGACAGAGUCUGGCGGAAAACAAUGAUGUGGAACUUCUGACUCCUGUCCAUAAAAGGCAGCAUUGCAGUCUCUACUCUUUGGAAUCAUUUACUCUGGGGGAAGACAACUCCCAUAUUGUGAGCAGCAUUAUGUAGAACCGUGAGCUUGUGGAGAAGGACUGAGGACUCCUAUCAACAGACAACCAUCCUCUCCUGCCUGUAGGUGACACAUACCCGGCCUGACACCUAGCUUCUGCCUCAUGGGAGAUGGAAGCCAGAGCCACCCAGCUAAGUUCCUCCCCAGAUUUUGAGCCUUAAAACUGUGUGAGAUCAUACAUGUGUACUGUAUCUCAGGCUGCUAAAUUUUGGGGUGAAUUGUUAUGCCGCAAGAGAUCACUAAUUCAGAGCAUUUGUCUUUUCCUUAUUGACUUGUAAGGGCUUUUUAUUUACUAAGAAUAUCAAUUACUCAUAGACAUAUGUUGCAAAUAUCUCUUGGGAUUUUCACUGAAUAUGCAUUGAAUUUAUAAUUAUUUUGGGGAGAAAUAACAUCUUUACUUUUACUAAGGGAAAAGAGUAUUGAUUCUUUUUUGUUCAGGGACAAGGAUUUAAAUCUUCUUUUACAUCCUGGAGUAAAUUUGGUUGUUUUAUUUGUUUAAGUCCUGCCACAUUUUUUUCUUAUGUUUAUUCUAGGGGUAUUUUAUAUAUUUUCCUUGAUUUGGUAAGUGAGACAUUUUUUAAAAAUAGUUUUUGAUUAUUGAUGAUAAGAUUAAGUAUAACAAAAAAAAAUCAGUGAACUUGGUGAUGCAUAGAUUCUCAACCUGCCUGGGUUAAAAUUUUUGAAUCUUGGUUGCUGUAUCUGUAUAUUCCUCAAUGGAUGGAUUGUAAGGAUGAAGUCAAAUAAUCUAUAUACAGGAUUGAGUGCAGGGCCUGGUACGUGGGAAGCAUAUAAUAUUUGCUACUAUUAUUUUUAUUCAUAAUCAAAGGAAAUAAAACCAAAUAUUACCUCCCUUGACCCAGCAUAACCAAACUGUACAUUAAUAAUGUGUGCAUACAGUAUGCAUAAUGAGCCAUUUCACUAACUCUGUCAGGGCUCCAGGCUGCCCUUGUUCCAUAGCAGUGAGAUUUGACUGUCUUACAGAUGUGUCAAGUCCUUGGAUUUGAAAUCCUUGUAGGCUGUACAAAUUAGUUAGCCUUAUUUUACAUUGUACAGUAUGUGAAGUAACCACCUCUUGACUUCAGCAUUCAAAUUUAUGUGAAACUCAUGCAAAUGACAUGUCCCUGAAUCACCUAGCUCCAUGGAUGUCUCUGCCUCACUCUCCAAGAUCUGUGUUUUGCAGUUCCUUGAAUGCAUCCCUCUGAGAGACAGCUCUGGGCACCUCCAACCCCCCCCC